rnacentral:rRNA from 1 species
GACGAACGCUGGCGGCGUGCUUAACACAUGCAAGUCGAACGGAAAGGCCCUGCUUUUGUGGGGUGCUCGAGUGGCGAACGGGUGAGUAACACGUGAGUAACCUGCCCUUGACUUUGGGAUAACUUCAGGAAACUGGGGCUAAUACCGGAUAGGAGCUCCUGCUGCAUGGUGGGGGUUGGAAAGUUUCGGCGGUUGGGGAUGGACUCGCGGCUUAUCAGCUUGUUGGUGGGGUAGUGGCUUACCAAGGCUUUGACGGGUAGCCGGCCUGAGAGGGUGACCGGCCACAUUGGGACUGAGAUACGGCCCAGACUCCUACGGGAGGCAGCAGUGGGGAAUAUUGCACAAUGGGCGGAAGCCUGAUGCAGCAACGCCGCGUGCGGGAUGACGGCCUUCGGGUUGUAAACCGCUUUCGCCUGUGACGAAGCGUGAGUGACGGUAAUGGGUAAAGAAGCACCGGCUAACUACGUGCCAGCAGCCGCGGUGAUACGUAGGGUGCGAGCGUUGUCCGGAUUUAUUGGGCGUAUAGGGCUCGUAGGUGGUUGAUCGCGUCGGAAGUGUAAUCUUGGGGCUUAACCCUGAGCGUGCUUUCGAUACGGGUUGACUUGAGGAAGGUAGGGGAGAAUGGAAUUCCUGGUGGAGCGGUGGAAUGCGCAGAUAUCAGGAGGAACACCAGUGGCGAAGGCGGUUCUCUGGGCCUUUCCUGACGCUGAGGAGCGAAAGCGUGGGGAGCGAACAGGCUUAGAUACCCUGGUAGUCCACGCUGUAAACGGUGGGUACUAGGUGUGGGGUCCAUUCCACGGGUUCCGUGCCGUAGCUAACGCUUUAAGUACCCCGCCUGGGGAGUACGGCCGCAAGGCUAAAACUCAAAGGAAUUGACGGGGCCCCGCACAAGCGGCGGAGCAUGCGGAUUAAUUCGAUGCAACGCGUAGAACCUUACCUGGGUUUGACAUGGAUCGGGAGUGCUCAGAGAUGGGUGUGCCUCUUUUGGGGUCGGUUCACAGGUGGUGCAUGGCUGUCGUCAGCUCGUGUCGUGAGAUGUUGGGUUAAGUCCCGCAACGAGCGCAACCCUUGUUCACUGUUGCCAGCACGUUAUGGUGGGGACUCAGUGGAGACCGCCGGGGUCAACUCGGAGGAAGGUGGGGAUGACGUCAAGUCAUCAUGCCCCUUAUGUCCAGGGCUUCACGCAUGCUACAAUGGCUGGUACAGAGAGUGGCGAGCCUGUGAGGGUGAGCGAAUCUCGGAAAGCCGGUCUCAGUUCGGAUUGGGGUCUGCAACUCGACCUCAUGAAGUCGGAGUCGCUAGUAAUCGCAGAUCAGCAACGCUGCGGUGAAUACGUUCCCGGGGCUUGUACACACCGCCCGUCAAGUCAUGAAAGUUGGUAACACCCGAAGCCGGUGGCCUAACCGUUGUGGGGGAGCCGUCGAAGGUGGGACUGGUGAUUAGGA